UCCAAGACAUGCGAAUAUGUGGCGAACCAAAUAAAAUGAAUUGCAAGUAUCAGUGAAUUUUGUCCAAUACUGAAGGUGGAGACAGAAUUCAUCUUCACAAAAGUAUUUAAUAAACAUGAUAAACAAGUUACUGAUAAACAGAACAUAUUUCUUUAUGGAAAAUACUUACUCAAUUUUGGAAGGUGAAAAUGCCCAAAUUUGAGGUCGAUGAAAAACAUUUUUUGUUGUAGUGACAUUUUAUCAAAGGUGCAUAUGACAACUACGAUAAUCAAACUUGUAUUCUACUACUGACUACUGAAAGUGAAGCGGGCGAUGUGAAAAUAAUGGAAGUUUUGCCAAAAAGUACUCUUAUGAAAUUCACUGAUUUCAAUGUUCUCCAAUAAACACAGUGUUUAAUUUAAA